AGACUAAUGAGAAUCGCUCAAGUAACACGUCGUUCGCAUCCAACGUAACCGAAAACAGGUUAGUGGUUGAAAGAACAUUGGGCGAUCAAACUUUCAGCGAACACCAUAUAAGCGACACGAGAAGAAAAGGAGAAGAUGCGUUAUUGAAAGACAAUGGUUCUAGUACCGAGGAAAUUGAACGAAACUCAAGAUCAAAUUUUACGUCGCCAGUGGUCAGUUCUAACACUAAAGCAACGAUGCAUUGCCACAGUACCGACGUCAAGGUACUUUUA